GGAUGCGUAGCUCAGCGGUAGAGCACUGCCUUCACACGGCAGGGGUCACAGGUUCAAUCCCUGUCGCAUCCACCA
rnacentral:tRNA from 17 species